AACAAGACCUGGCCGGGGAGACACUAUGGUCAGGACAGCGGUUCACCCAUGGCUCGGUUCUCCAGGUGUACGGACUCCUGAGAAUUCCCCAAAAGUAGGAGUCUCGACUGCAUAAUUAAUAGAAUUGGGGAAAUGUGUUAGCGCUCUCCCUU
rnacentral:snRNA from 1 species